CGGGACAUGUAUGUCUCACCUGUCUUACCUGUGCUGAGGACUGCAUGUCUUACCUGUGCUGAGGACUGCAUGUCUUACCUGUGCUGAGGACUGCAUGUCUUACCUGUGCUGAGGACUGCAUCCUGACUGCCACGGACGGCAUCCUCGGUGGUUCCAAUUUCCAGCCCAUUCCCCAAUUUUCAACCCCAAUGACAGACAACACACGCUUGAAUGGCUGUUCAGCUAAAGAAGGGAAUUGGUUCCCAGGAAUGGCUUCCGUUGCACCGCAGCUGGCUUUUCAAAGAGGAGGGAAGACGCAGGAACAACAACAACAACAAAAAAAAAGAAAAAAAAGAAUGAACUCACAAGAGUUUCUUCACUGUUUUAGGGCGUGCAAUCACGAGCCAGUAGUGUUAACGCAUACUUCUUGACAGCCGCGACCCACAUUACCACAGCUACCCAAUAAGACGUGCCGUGUGAGAAAUAUUUGACGCUUUCAUUAAUCAUCAUUCCUAAAUGAUCACUCUGUGAGGGUAUGCAUUUAAGCGUGAUUAAUUGCAGAGCGAGCCUAAUCAAGCAAUGAAUUACCUGCCUAACCUUUUGCAGGAGGUUGGUGUUAACCUCAAGUCAAAGCAGUGGAACCCAGCGUGGUUAACUGUGUCAAGGAAAAUUAAGGAGAGACAAUAAUGAGAAUCAGUUAUAGACCCUGUUUUUAAAGAAAGGACACCCAUUGUGGUUAGGUAAUCUGAGACCUCAAAAGAAGUACUACGGCAUGAAAGAAAUACAUAUUUAGAGGUUUUCCCCCAAUAGAGGUCAAAUGUUGUGAAUAGAAUAGAUUACAUACACCCUACUGCUCUACAAACCUCAAUAUUUGUCAGUGUUUCAAGAUACAACAUGUUCUGAAUACGUGAACCACAACCCUGGCUUUGCUUCUCGAUUGCACAUACUGGUUUCAUAACUUUCAACCGCCUUUAUGUGUUGAUUCAUGAUUCCUGCUGUUGAACUCGGCAGAUAAGUUGAAGGAAGUUAUUUUGUCGCUUUUUUUUUCUCCAUAUCCAAUACUAUAUUCAAUGAUAUAUUCUCAUGUAUGAUUAAGUGCAGCAGGGUCGAUAAUUCUCCGUCAUCAUGCACUUGGCUCCUGUGUUCUGUCUAAGCAGAGCCCCACGAGACAAUACCCCAGUGUGUGCAGAUCAGGUGUUUACCUUAUAAGCACGAUGAAAGACUCUCUAACCAGUUGUGACAAUGGCAAAGUGAGAUAAUAGCCCACCGAGAUGAUUCAAGAGUGACUUGUGCAACCACCAAGCUUGUAUGGGGCAUUGCACACUCUAAAUGGUAUGCUUUUGAAGUCAGACAAACUGAAGGGUGUGGUCGACUUUGUCUGGUCCACUUCACUGUGCUUCAUUAUUGGCUCUCUGUUUAUGCUCAGAAUCAUAUAUAUUCCUGUGUUGGGCCGACUUUUUUUUAUUUUUUUUAUUCACGAUAUUCAAACACACAGAAUGUGACCAGAUCCUUGAAAAGAGAAUAAAUAUUGCAUUACAAUAUACCCCCAUCAUUUGACUCCUGCUUCAGAGUCAGUACUCAUUAGAGGCAAAUAUUUUGUUCACACACAAAUGAGGCCUUAAUAAUUGCACGAUUUUAUGCACAAUUCAAAUUCAAAUCAUUCCUUCUUGACACAGCCAAUACAUCUGUCAUGCGGCUCCUCGUUUUUUUGUUGAAUAAUUAAAAAAAGAAAUAGAGAAACAUACUAAUGAGAGAACCUUACUUGAGGGCUUUGCCGCUCCACUGACUAUCAUAUUAAUGUAUUCCUGUGUGAAUUAAACGCAUCAUCAAACACCUAAGUUCCUUCCAUAUUUUCCUCUGAAGACGAGGGCUGGACACCGGUGUCUACCUUGCCCUCUGCAAAAAUGAAGGGCAUUCUUCAUUAUUACACCUCUUGUGAUUACUUGUUAAUAGCCAUGUACUAAAGGUCCCUCUCCAAAUUGACAAAAACACUGGGAAUUUAGCUUUUUAUGAGAAUGACAUUGUUUCGGUCAAUGAUUAAGUCAUUAAGAUAUGUUAAGGUGAAUUUAAAGUGAUAUGUAGAUUUAUUGCACCCCACUAGCUUUGUCUUUCUCCAGUUUUUAGGUCUGUAAAUGUUUAAUAUUU